UGUUGACUCUUGACAUCAAACUCUUCAGUCCAGCUGCACUCUAUUGAGUGUGAACGAUCUUACUCAAUAGUACCCAAUCUGGUCAAGGUUCCUGUAAAGAGAAGACCAAACUACAGGCAAGAAUAGAGGUUGGAGAUGGACUGGCUUACCCAUCUAAAGGAUGUGGAAAUGGAGAAUAAGUGAGCUAAUCUUGGAAGAAUUUUGUAACAAAACAGGACAUUUCUCCAUGGAUCCAGAGGAAGUGGUAGCUGAGGGUUUGAGCUGUGUAGGGAUCUGACUUCUUCGUGGGUGUUCCUAGUAGAUGGCCCCAAGCCUACAACAGAGACUGCUUGGCUGUCUACAGUGGAAAAGACCUUCAAGUUGACUGUGAGUGGGUGCGACUCAUCAAGAAAAAUAACCUCACCACCACAACAACACAUGACGGGAGAGACCGAAACUUCUUUGGGAGAACAUAAGGGAAAAAGAAAAAAAAGAAAAAGUGAAGUCUAAGUAUUAUUAAACACAUGAAAGCCGAGUCAUUUACUUAAUAGGAAGGAGCUCAUUCACACACAGGUAGACUUGUGGUUCCUUAGAAGUACGUAAACACGACC
rnacentral:lncRNA from 1 species